rnacentral:rRNA from 1 species
CCUACGGGUGGCAGCAGUGGGGAAUAUUGCACAAUGGGGGAAACCCUGAUGCAGCGACGCCGCGUGAGUGAAGACGUAAUUCGUUAUGUUAAGCUCUAUCAGCAGGGAAGAAAAUGACGCUACCUGAGGAAGAAGCCCCGGCCAACUACGUGCCACCUGCAGCGGUAAUUCGGAGGGGGCAAGCGUUAUCCGGAUUUACUGGGUGUUAAGGGAGCGUAGGCGGCAGGGAAAGGCUGGAGUGAAAGGCGGGGGCUCAACCCCCGGACUGCUCUGGAAACUGUACGGCUUGAGUGCAGGAGAGGUAAGUGGAAUUCCUAGUGUAGCGGUGAAAUGCGUAGAUAUUAGGAGGAACACCAGUGGCGAAGGCGGCUUACUGGACUGUAACUGACGUUGAGGCUCGAAAGCGUGGGGAGCAAACAGGAUUAGAUACCCUAGUAGUC